rnacentral:rRNA from 1 species
GACGAACGCUGGCGGCGUGCUUCAUACAUGCAAGUCGAGCGAGAAGCUGACUUCGUUCAUUGUCAAGUGUCGGACGCGUACGUAAUAGUUACACAAUCUUCCUCUACCUAUGAGACAACAGAGAGAAACUUCUGCUAAUACUCCAUAUGAACGUAGCUUAGAUGCUCUUCUUUAAAACUCCGGUGCCUAAAGAUGGGACUGCAUCGGAUUAGCUAGUUGGUCAUGUACUGGACUACCAAGUCGACGAUCAGUAGCUGGUUAGAGAGGAUGAGCAGCAACAACGGGACUGAGACACGGGUAAGACUUCUACGGCAAGGAGCAGUAGGGAAUUUUACGAAAGGGGCGAAAACGAGAAGCAGCAACGGAGCGUGAACGAUUAAGCUUAGCGAGGUGUAAAGGUGUGUGAGAGGAGGCGAAACUUGACGGUACCCAAAGAGAAAGCACCGGCUAACUCCGUG